AUAAAUCCCCAGGGGAUUGCAAACGCUGCAGCCGUCCGGUCGCUCCCCUCCCGACUCCGGCGAGAAGAAGCGACGGUGGCGGCAGUCGAUACGCCACUGGCCGCGGUGGAGGCUGCCCAUUCCUUUCCGCCUUUUCGCCCUCGAACUACGGGGCACAGCACGCCUGCUCUUCUGCUCCUUUACUAAGGUACGGCGAGAGGAUGAGAAUGUUUUGCUUGGCGAACUAUUGGUCGCCUGCAUUUACCUUAGUGCGGGGAGGAGCUACAGUUGGACAUCCUCUAAAAUUCAAUUCUGUAGUGGUUUGCGGUGCCAGGGGUCCAAGACCAAGAUAUCCCCGUGUGUGGAAAACUCGUAAGAAAAUUGGGACUAUUUCCAAGUCACAGAAGCUUGUGGAAUGUAUUAAAGGUCUGUCUAAUGUAAAGGAGGAAGUUUAUGGCGCACUUGACUCAUUUGUUGCAUGGGAACUGGAGUUUCCCUUGAUAGUAGUAAAGAAGGCACUGAAGACACUUGAGGAUGAAAAGGAAUGGAAGCGUAUAAUUCAGGUUAUUAAAUGGAUGUUCAACAAAGGUCAAGGGAAGACAAUGGGAAGCUAUUACACCUUGUUGAAUGCUUUGAUCGAGGAUGGACGGAUUGAGGAAGCAGAAGAAUUAUUUGGAAUGAUAUUCUCACGAUAUAUGGAGGGAUUGCCUCGUACCUUUUUCAUGAGAAUGAUUUCUUUGUAUUACAGUGUGGGAGCAUACAAUAAGAUGUUUGAGGUUUUUGCUGAUAUGGAGGAACUAGGCGUUAGACCUGAUGGUUCAAUUGUCAGGAUGCUAGGUGAUGUAUUUCAGAAGUUAGAUAUGAUGGACAAAUAUGAAAAGUUAAAAAAGAAAUACCCACCACCAAAAUGGGAAUACCGAUACAUCAAAGGCAAGCGCAUCAAAAUGAAGGUUUACCCUGAUAAUAAAACCAAAGAGUUGACAGAAGGAGACCCUGGCACAGAUGAACUGGAAGAGGCAGAAAAUAUACACCACCUUGGCACAGAUGAAUUGGAAGAGGCAGAAAGUAUACACCUUGAUGAUGAAUUGGAAGAAGCAGCAAGCUCAGGCCUUGACAGGAAUGUGUUGGACGAUGCAGCUUCUGGAGACUUUGAAUAUGUAUAGAUCAGAGCUUCUGUUUGGUAUUUUUGCACCUGCUUAAUCAAAGUGGGCAAGAGCAAAAUGGACUGUUGCAUUGCAGCUUGAGGUUUUGGUGAUAGCCAGUUUGCUACUGCUGCCAUAUUUGGAAUGGAAAAGCAACUCUCGUGCUCAGUGGAUGUCCAGCAGGUUAGCGUCGCAUAAUCGUCAAAUGAUCUGGUAAUCCUAAUCCAUAGUUAGCUGUAUCCGACUGCUUCGUGAAGAACCUGUUGUUGAUUACUAUUAAAGAUGAUAUCCUGGACAUCAGACACGGCGGUAGUAAUGGAUAACUUUGCCAUAGUAGAUCCCGUAAGAGUUCUGCAUGCGUAUUAUAAACAGACAUCCGAGACCAAGACCCAUUAUGAGCAAGAGCAACUACUAGGAGGCAGCCUUGAGCACGUUUUGCAUCAGUGUGCCUUGUUAUGAAUGUAUUGGCUGCCUGUACUGGUCGUCCGUUGCUGGUUGAUCGAUGUAGCGAAAUCUCUGAUCAUGCGUAUGGUCCUAUCAUUCAGUAUGAAAAGACGCCAUUGUUGACACAUGGAGCCUUGUGCUAUCUUAACUGCUAAUAUGAAUGCCUAUCUCUGGACUCCUUAUGCUA